rnacentral:rRNA from 1 species
GAUGAACGCUAGCUACAGGCUUAACACAUGCAAGUCGAGGGGAAACGACAUCGAAAGCUUGCUUUUGAUGGGCGUCGACCGGCGCACGGGUGAGUAACGCGUAUCCAACCUGCCCACCACUUGGGGAUAACCUUGCGAAAGUAAGACUAAUACCCAAUGACGUCUCUAGAAGACAUCUGAAAGAGAUGAAAGAUUUAUCGGUGAUGGAUGGGGAUGCGUCUGAUUAGCUUUGUGGCGGGGUAACGGCCCACCAAGGCGACGAUCAGUAGGGGUUCUGAGAGGAAGGUCCCCCACAUUGGAACUGAGACACGGUCCAAACUCCUACGGGGGGCAGCAGUGAGGAAUAUUGGUCAAUGGGCGAGAGCCUGAACCAGCCAAGUAGCGUGCAGGAUGACGGCCCUAUGGGUUGUAAACUGCUUUUAUAAGGGAAUAAAGUGAGUCUCGUGAGACUUUUUGCAUGUACCUUAUGAAUAAGGACCGGCUAAUUCCGUGCCAGCCGCCGCCGUAA